rnacentral:rRNA from 1 species
UACAGAGGUCCCGAGCGUUGUUCGGAUUCAUUGGGCGUAAAGGGUGCGUAGGUGGCAUGGUAAGUCGGGUGCGAAAUCUCAGGGCUCAACCCUGAAACUGCACUCGAUACUGCCGUGCUCGAGCACUGGAGAGGAGACUGGAAUUUACGGUGUAGCAGUGAAAUGCGUAGAUAUCGUAAGGAAGACCGGUGGCGAAAGCUAGUCUCUGGACAGUCGCUGACACUGAGGCACGAAGGCCAGGGGAGCAAACGGG